rfam:Schistosoma curassoni strain Dakar, Senegal genome assembly, scaffold: SCTD_scaffold0002087
AUCCAGCUGAUGAGUCCCAAAUAGGACGAAACGCGCGUCCUGGGU